rnacentral:rRNA from 1 species
UACGUAGGGUGCAAGCGUUGUCCGGAAUUAUUGGGCGUAAAGAGCUCGUAGGCGGUUUGUCGCGUCGGAUGUGAAAAUCCAGGGCUCAACCCUGGACCUGCAUUCGAUACGGGCAGACUAGAGUUCGGUAGGGGAGACUGGAAUUCCUGGUGUAGCGGUGGAAUGCGUAGAGAUCGGGAAGAACAUCAGUGGCGAAGGCGGUCUGCUGGGCCGUUGCUGACGCUGAGGCGCGACAGCGUGGGGAGCAAACAGG